AAAUUUUGUAUUUGAUUUGCCGAUGUCUUACUGACUGCAUCUAAAGCAAUUUAGUCUGACUGACUAAAAGCGAGCUUCGUUAUAACCUACACGUUUGAUCGUCGAUACCCUUUGGCUUCUGUAAAGCUCCUCGGAACAAUGUGAGUAUAGAGGAGUGUGAAUAAAGUGCUGGUUUCUUAUCGCUGGUUCCGGGAAAAAAUGACCAGAGCUGUAUAGAGUGCUUGGUGGAAGUUGACGGGCUCAAGUAUGCUGUAGGCAGGCUCAAACCUUGAUCAACUAGAUUCACGAAUCCUCUAUAAGCAAUUGGAAAAAAGCAACGAGGUUUUCAAGUACGUUGGAGUCCAAACGUGACAGAUUCCAGGACGCUGUGUGAACACUUUAGGAAAAUAAAAAAGGUCCCUGCAAGUAGAGUCGAACGUCGGUUGAGUAGGUCCGGAACUUGAUUUUCAACGCUAGGAACUUGUGAAUAUUCGUCCCGAGGUCCGAGACUUGCCUGUGAUGAUCGACUACUUGG
rnacentral:misc_RNA from 1 species